rnacentral:rRNA from 1 species
AUGGGAACGCGAAGAACCUUACCGGGGCUCGAACGGCUUCUGACAGUCCUAGAAAUAGGAUCUUACCUUCGGGUACAGAAGUCGAGGUGCUGCAUGGCUGUCGUCAGCUCGUGUCGUGAGAUGUUGGGUUAAGUCCCGCAACGAGCGCAACCCUUACUUUAGUUGCCAUCAGGUUAAGCUGGGCACUCUAGAAGAACUGCCGGCGAAAAGCUGGAGGAAGGUGGGGAUGACGUCAAGUCCUCAUGGCCUUUAUGUCCCGGGCUACACACGUGCUACAAUGGACGGUACAGAGGGUUGCCAAACCGUAAGGUGGAGCUAAUCCCAGAAAAGCGUCCUCAGUUCGGAUUGCAGUCUGCAACUCGACUGCAUGAAGUCGGAAUCGCUAGUAAUCGUAGAUCAGAAUGCUACGGUGAAUACGUUCCCGGGUCUUGUACACACCG